GGUUAAGCGACUAAGCGUACACGGUGGAUGCCCUGGCAGUCAGAGGCGAUGAAGGACGUGCUAAUCUGCGAUAAGCGCCGGUAAGGUGAUAUGAACCGUUAUAACCGGCGAUUUCCGAAUGGGGAAACCCAGUGUGACUCGUCACACUAUCAUUAACUGAAUCCAUAGGUUAAUGAGGCGAACCGGGGGAACUGAAACAUCUAAGUACCCCGAGGAAAAGAAAUCAACCGAGAUUCCCCCAGUAGCGGCGAGCGAACGGGGAUGAGCCCAGAGCCUGAAUCAGCAUGUGUGUUAGUGGAAGCGUCUGGAAAGGCGCGCGAUACAGGGUGACAGCCCCGUACACAAAAGCGCAUAUGCUGUGAGCUCGAUGAGUAGGGCGGGACACGUGGUAUCCUGUCUGAAUAUGGGGGGACCAUCCUCCAAGGCUAAAUACUCCUGACUGACCGAUAGUGAACCAGUACCGUGAGGGAAAGGCGAAAAGAACCCCGGCGAGGGGAGUGAAAAAGAACCUGAAACCGUGUACGUACAAGCAGUGGGAGCCCCACCACUAAGCCAGUGGUGAACUCCACAUACGCAUCCUUUGCUGAGGAUGCGGUUAACGGAGCGAAAGCGACGUUCAACCGCAAAAGAAGCAGAGGGGGCUUAGUGGUGG
rnacentral:rRNA from 2 species